GCCCUCGUAGCUCAGCCGGAUAGAGCAGCGGCUUCCUAAGCCGAAGGUCGUGUGUUCGAAUCACGCCGGGGGCG
rnacentral:tRNA from 1 species